rnacentral:ncRNA from 12 species
GCUAUUUGAAGUGGACAAUUGUGCCAUCCACACACCUAGAAAUAGGUCAAAAGAGAUGCAGGAAGUGGUACACCUGCCAGAUAAC